rnacentral:tRNA from 1 species
GGGCCCGUAGCUUAGCCUGGUUUUGAGCAUUCGACUGAUAAUCGAAAGGUCCUCAGUUCAAAUCUGAGCGGGCCCA